AGGGCUGGCCCCUCGAAGUCGGCGUACAGGCGCAGGCUUCAAACCACCCUGAGCUGCAUCGGUUAAGAGCCGUUGUGGUGAGCGUCAGGGAAAAGGCGCGGGGAAACUGCGUCAGG
rnacentral:ncRNA from 1 species